UACGAAGGGGCUAGCGUUGUUCGGAAUUACUGGGCGUAAAGCGCACGUAGGCGGACAUUUAAGUCAGGGGUGAAAUCCCGGAGCUCAACUCCGGAACUGCCUUUGAUACUGGGUGUCUUGAGUGUGGAAGAGGUGAGUGGAAUUCCGAGUGUAGAGGUGAAAUUCGUAGAUAUUCGGAGGAACACCAGUGGCGAAGGCGGCUCACUGGUCCAUUACUGACGCUGAGGUGCGAAAGCGUGGGGAGCAAACAGGG
rnacentral:rRNA from 1 species